rnacentral:lncRNA from 1 species
GUGUAUCCAAUCCCGUCCAUGUAAUAAAUUGUAGUGGCUAUCUGCAUCCACCACAAAAAAUGCAGUUUUCAAAGUUUUUGAGCCUACCGUAAGUUCAGUGGUGAGUACUCCUCGAGCUUGUUGACCGUUUCCAGUGAAAUCGGUCAUGAUUGAGUCGGUGGGCUUCAACUCGUCCUCAUCUUUGCCCAGCUUCUUGAAAAAAAGAAGUAGGCAUUACAUUGACCAUGGCACCACCAUCUACCAUAACUCGGCCUACUGGCCGACCUUCAAUUAAGGCCUUUAUAAAGAGAGGCCUUAUGAAUCUCGUCUGCAUAGCCGAUGGUUUCUCAAAAACCACUGCAUCGGCUGGUUGAACAUCUUCCAAUUGCAACUGGGCUACUUUAAGCCCAUCUCCCUCUUCUUCUCUGAACUCUUCACACUCGAUAAGCUCUGCCUUAAAAGAUUGAGGCAGAGCAUAUACC